rnacentral:rRNA from 1 species
GUUUGAUCAUGGCUCAGGACUAACGCUGGCGGCGUGCCUAAUACAUGCAAGUCGAACGAACUCUGGUAUUGAUUGGUGCUUGCAUCAUGAUUUACAUUUGAGUGAGUGGCGAACUGGUGAGUAACACGUGGGAAACCUGCCCAGAAGCGGGGGAUAACACCUGGAAACAGAUGCUAAUACCGCAUAACAACUUGGACCGCAUGGUCCGAGCUUGAAAGAUGGCUUCGGCUAUCACUUUUGGAUGGUCCCGCGGCGUAUUAGCUAGAUGGUGGGGUAACGGCUCACCAUGGCAAUGAUACGUAGCCGACCUGAGAGGGUAAUCGGCCACAUUGGGACUGAGACACGGCCCAAACUCCUACGGGAGGCAGCAGUAGGGAAUCUUCCACAAUGGACGAAAGUCUGAUGGAGCAACGCCGCGUGAGUGAAGAAGGGUUUCGGCUCGUAAAACUCUGUUGUUAAAGAAGAACAUAUCUGAGAGUAACUGUUCAGGUAUUGACGGUAUUUAACCAGAAAGCCACGGCUAACUACGUGCCAGCAGCCGCGGUAAUACGUAGGUGGCAAGCGUUGUCCGGAUUUAUUGGGCGUAAAGCGAGCGCAGGCGGUUUUUUAAGUCUGAUGUGAAAGCCUUCGGCUCAACCGAAGAAGUGCAUCGGAAACUGGGAAACUUGAGUGCAGAAGAGGACAGUGGAACUCCAUGUGUAGCGGUGAAAUGCGUAGAUAUAUGGAAGAACACCAGUGGCGAAGGCGGCUGUCUGGUCUGUAACUGACGCUGAGGCUCGAAAGUAUGGGUAGCAAACAGGAUUAGAUACCCUGGUAGUCCAUACCGUAAACGAUGAAUGCUAAGUGUUGGAGGGUUUCCGCCCUUCAGUGCUGCAGCUAACGCAUUAAGCAUUCCGCCUGGGGAGUACGGCCGCAAGGCUGAAACUCAAAGGAAUUGACGGGGGCCCGCACAAGCGGUGGAGCAUGUGGUUUAAUUCGAAGCUACGCGAAGAACCUUACCAGGUCUUGACAUACUAUGCAAAUCUAAGAGAUUAGACGUUCCCUUCGGGGACAUGGAUACAGGUGGUGCAUGGUUGUCGUCAGCUCGUGUCGUGAGAUGUUGGGUUAAGUCCCGCAACGAGCGCAACCCUUAUUAUCAGUUGCCAGCAUUAAGUUGGGCACUCUGGUGAGACUGCCGUGACAAACCGGAGGAAGGUGGGGAUGACGUCAAAUCAUCAUGCCCCUUAUGACCUGGGCUACACACGUGCUACAAUGGAUGGUACAACGAGUUGCGAACUCGCGAGAGUAAGCUAAUCUCUUAAAGCCAUUCUCAGUUCGGAUUGUAGGCUGCAACUCGCCUACAUGAAGUCGGAAUCGCUAGUAAUCGCGGAUCAGCAUGCCGCGGUGAAUACGUUCCCGGGCCUUGUACACACCGCCCGUCACACCAUGAGAGUUUGUAACACCCAAAGUCGGUGGGGUAACCUUUA